rnacentral:rRNA from 1 species
UACGUAGGGAGCGAGCGUUGUCCGGAUUCAUUGGGCGUAAAGCGCGCGUAGGCGGCUUCGUAAGUCGGCCGUGAAAUCUCCAGGCUUAACCUGGAGGGGUCGGGCGAGACUGCGGGGCUCGAGGUGGGCAGAGGGCAGUGGAAUUCCGGGUGUAGUGGUGGAAUGCGUAGAGAUCCGGAGGAACACCAGUGGCGAAGGCGGCUGCCUGGGCCAUUCCUGACGCUGAGGUGCGAAAGCGUGGGGAGCAAACAGG